CCUACGGGACGCACCAGUGGGGAAUAUUGGACAAUGGGCGCAAGCCUGAUCCAGCCAUGCCGCGUGAGUGAAGAAGGCCUUAGGGUUGUAAAGCUCUUUCACCGGUGAAGAUAAUGACGGUAACCGGAGAAGAAGCCCCGGCUAACUUCGUGCCAGCAGCCGCGGUAAUACGAAGGGGGCUAGCGUUGUUCGGAAUUGCUGGGCGUAAAGCGCGCGUAGGCGGAUAGAUAAGUCAGAGGUGAAAUCCCGGGGCUCAACCCCGGAAUUGCCUUGGAUACUGUUUAUCUUGAGUGCAGAAGAGGUAAGUGGAAUUCCGAGUGUAGAGGUGAAAUUCGUAGAUAUUCGGAGGAACACCAGUGGCGAAGGCGGCUUACUGGUCUGCAACUGACGCUGAGGCGCGAAAGCCAGGGGAGCAAACGGGAUUAGAUACCCUUGUAGUC
rnacentral:rRNA from 1 species